UACAGAGGUGCCGAGCGUUAGGCGGAAUCACUGGGCUUAAAGCGUGUGUAGGCGGGGCGGUAAGUGCUUUGUGAAAUCCCACGGCUCACCCGUGGAACUGCUUGGUAUACUGGCGCUCUUGAGCCACUUAGGGGCAACUGGAACAAACGGUGGAGCGGUGAAAUGCGUAGAUAUCGUUUGGAACGCCAAAGGUGAAAACAGGUUGCUGGGAGUGUGCUGACGCUGAGACACGAAAGCCAGGGGAGCGAACGGG
rnacentral:rRNA from 1 species